rnacentral:lncRNA from 1 species
AGAAGUUUGCAGAAAAAAAUUCUGGGCCUGUGAGAACCACAAGGGGACACAAAGCAAUGCUCAAGGCAAGCCAUAGGGAAGAAAAGAACUAGAGGUGCCCGAAAGUCAGAUUACCUUGUCAUCAAAGAAGCCCCGGUCAUCCGAACGCUGCGCCCCCAGAAGUCUGUCAGUUUCCUGAUCUGUGUCACAAUCUGGGGUGGGGACAUGCACAAAUGCGCGCGGUGUUAGUUCACAGCAAACCACGCAUGUCAGAAAUUCAUUAGUUUCUUUUGAGCUGUAUGAAUACCAAAAAAAUUUGACAAUGACAAUACCAUAUUGUCAUAUGUAUACCAGGCAUUUUCUUUUAGCUGCACCAAAAUUUGAAAAAUUGCCUGUGGCAGAUUGCACAAUUCUAACCUUUGAGCUAAAUUACACGAUGAGGGGGCCCAUUACUUCUAAGAGAGAUGAAAAUGCUUAAUUGAAUAAUUAACA